GGACUACUAGGGUUUCUAAUCCUGUUUGCUCCCCACGCUUUCGUGCCUGAGCGUCAGUGUUAGCCCAGGGGGUUGCCUUCGCCAUCGGUGUUCCUCCGCAUCUCUACGCAUUUCACUGCUACACGCGGAAUUCCACCCCCCUCUGCCACACUCAAGCUCGCCAGUUUCCACUGCCAUUCCCAGGUUGAGCCCGGGGAUUUCACAGCAGACACAACGAACCGCCUGCGCACGCUUUACGCCCAGUAAUUCCGAUUAACGCUCGCACCCUACGUAUUACCGCGGCGGCUGGCAC
rnacentral:rRNA from 2 species